rnacentral:tRNA from 1 species
CUCCCCGUAGCUCAGAGGACAGAGCACCGGUUUCCGGAACCGGGCGCCGCAGGUUCGACUCCUGCCGGGGAGG